AUGGAAGCCCUAAGUGAUCUGCACUCCAAAAUAUUGUUCCACAAAAGAAUUUUUGGCUCUGAGAACUGUUGCCCAAACAUGUUGAAGGAAGUUUCAGAUAAAAUCCUCAAAAAAUGUGGAGGCUUACCAUUGGCAAUUAUAACUAUCUCUAGUUUACUAGCAAACAAACCAGUUGUCAAGGUAGAGUGGGAGAAGGUUAAUAAGUCAAUCGGUUCUACUUCGGAAAAUAACAAGAGCCAAGAGGGAAUGAAUAGCAUAUUAUGCCUUAGUUAUAAUGAUCUUUCACCUAAUCUCAAGACAUGUUUGUUGUAUUUAAGUGUUUUCCCUGAGGAUUAUACGAUUGAUAGGGACAAGCUAGUGAGGCGAUGGAUAGCAGAAGGCUUUAUCUCUGAAGAACGUGGACAAUGUCAGCAAGAGGUCGCUGAGAAGUACUUCUACGAUCUUAUCAAUAAAAGCUUGGUUCAACCAGUGUACAUUGGUUAUGAUGGCAAAGCUAGUACCUGCCGAGUCCAUGACAUGAUGCUUGAUAUUAUCAUUUCAAAAUCGGUCGAAGAUAAUUUCAUUAUUGUUGUUGAUGGAGAAGGAGGACAAACGUGCUUGCCAAAUCAUCAUGGUUUUAUUCGAAGACUAUCCAUCCAACACAUUGACCGGGAGCUUGCUUAUGCAUUGGCAUGUAAAGAUCUACGCCAUGUUCGAUCUCUAACUGCAACGUCAUCAGAUUGCAUCAAACACUUGCCUGGCCUUGUUGAAUUUGAAGCUUUGCGUGUACUAGAUUUUGAGGAUUGUGAGGGUUUGGAGGAGUACGAUAUGCACAGUAUGGACAAAUUUUUCAACCUAAAAUACCUCAGCUAUAGGUGCACGGGCAUAUCAAAGCUACCAUCAGGGAUU
rnacentral:rRNA from 1 species